UAAAAGGCUUCUGAACAGCAAAGGAAGCCAUCAACAGAAUAAAAAGGGUACUUU
rfam:Equus caballus chromosome 17, whole genome shotgun sequence.